AGGGGCAGCGGGGAGUGAGGCUUGCCUUACCCUUAAAGCGACCGGCGCACGGGUGAGUAACACGUAUGCAACCUACCCUUUACAGCGGGAUAACCGGAAGAAAUUUUCCCAAAAACCGCAUAUACUCCUUGGGAGGCAUCUUCCGAGGGGGAAAGAAUUUCGGUGAAGGAUGGGCAUGCGUCGCAUUAGUUAGUUGGCGGUGUAACGGACCACCAAGACGACGAUGCGUAGGGGUUCUGAGAGGAAGGUCCCCCACACUGGUACUGAGACACGGACCAGACUCCUACGGGAGGCAGCAGUGAGGAAUAUUGGUCAAUGGCCGAGAGGCUGAUUUUUUUUAGUCGCGUGAGGGAAGAAUGUCCUAUGGAUUGUAAACCUCUUUUGUCUUGUUUUUUUUUCCCCCCCCCGUGGGUGUUGGAGAGUACUUUAAUAAAAAGCAUCGGCUAACUCCGUGCCAGCAGCCGCGGUAAUAUGGAGGAUGCGAGCGUUAUCCGGAUUUAUUGGGUUUAAAGGGUGCGUAGGCGGGUUAUCAAGUCAGCGGUAAAAUCGUGGAGCUCAACUCCAUCCAGCCGUUGAAACUGAUGAUCUUGAGUGGGCGAGAAGUAUGCGGAAUGCGUGGUGUAGCGGUGAAAUGCAUAGAUUUCUUAGAGAACUCCGAUUGCGAAGGCAGCAUACCGGCGCCCGACUGACGCUGAAGCACGAAAGCGUGGG
rnacentral:rRNA from 1 species